UUCUGUCCAUUUUGGCUAACUUGUGGGUUUUGCUAUAUUUUCUGAUUCUUUGGUACCAUAGUUGAGUAUGGAUCUUUUAAGUGAUUUACUCAUGAGUGGUUUACAUGAGGGGUUCUACUAAGAACUAGAACAAAUUGCAUUGUUUUGAGAAAAUGAGUGCAUCAUGAUUUCGAUAAACAUUCCUUAUGGUAUGCUUGUUCCCUUCUUGUUCACUCAC
rnacentral:lncRNA from 1 species